rnacentral:rRNA from 1 species
ACUUUCAACAACGGAUCUCUUGGUUCUGGCAUCGAUGAAGAACGCAGCGAAAUGCGAUAAGUAAUGUGAAUUGCAGAAUUCAGUGAAUCAUCGAAUCUUUGAACGCACAUUGCGCCCUUUGGUAUUCCGAGGGGCAUGCCUGUCCGAGCGUCAUUACA